AAACACGGACCAAGAAGUCUAGAAUAUGCGCGAGUCAAAGGGCUGGCUAAACCCCGAGGCGAAACGAAAGUGAAAACCUUUUUUCUUCAUAGGGCCGAUCCGGUUCGAGGUGCGCUAGCGGGAGUCGUUCUCCCCGUACUAUCCGUCGCUUCGGCGUCGGUCUCCUCACGGGGGCCGGUGUCGGGGCGCGCUGGUGCGGGGUGGCUCCCUCCCUUUCCCCUCGAUUUAUCUCCCUUAAAGUAUGAGGACGGCGCAGGCUCGGGGCCCGCACGCGACCUCCUCGCCGCUAAUGCCAAACCGUUCGCAUCCUUCGACGCUCGCGGUUCGUCGGCGCUUCGUCGCUUCUCCCGCUCGACCCCCGAUCGUUGCCGCAGUUUCGGCUGUUGCUCAUCGGGAUCAUCGGGCGAGGGCGGUCGGCUUGGCGGAGGCUCCGUCAGCGCGUCGUUCGGGGUCGUCGGUUCGCUGGCGCGGGACGAGCGGCGGGUUCUUAGAGCGCAUAUUCUAGUACCCGAAAGAUGGUGAUCUAUGCCUGACCAGGAUGAAGCCAGAGGAAACUCUGGUGGAGGUCCGUAGCGAUUCUGACGUGCAAAUCGAUCGU
rnacentral:rRNA from 1 species